GCUCCGUUCCCUUGGGUUGGAAUCCAGCGAUCCGGGGUUUCGCGGCCACCGGGAGUUCUGUUUAUAAACACACCGCGCAACCGGCUGCGAGGGGUAACCCCAAGGCAGUGAGGUCGGAGGUCAGAGGCCAGAAGUCUGCGAUCUAGAGAGCUGGCCCCACUGAAGCAAGGCGCUCUAAUGAUGUCACCCUCCGUGAAUCACUUCUGCAGAGACCCUGUCUCCAAUUGCACUCAUAGUAAACUGGGAGUUGGGGCUUCAGCGUGCAGAAUUUGAGCCAGUCUCAGUAGCACACACUAGCUACUCUGGAAGCUGAGGCAGGAGGAUCACUUGAGUCCAGGAGUUCUGGGCUGUACUGAUGGGGUACCCACACUAAGUUCAACAUCAGCAUGGUGACUUCCCAGGAGCAGGGGACCAUGAGGUUUUCUAAGGAGGGGUGAAUGGCCCAGGUUGGAAACAGAGCAAGUCAAAACUCCGAUACUGAUCAGUAUGCAUAUUUGGGGCCGAGGAGAUAGGUCAGUUGAUAAAAUGCUUACCUUACAAACUUGAGGACCUGAGUUCAAUCACCAGAGCCCACCUUCAGAUAGCCUCCUGGUGUUGUGAAUCAUGCUUAUAACCCCAGAGCUACACAGACAGGAGCAGGCAGGUCCCUAGGGCUCCCUGGCUGGUCAACCUAGUUCCAGACACUGUCUCAAAAUGAAAAAUAGGUGGACAGCACCUGAGGAAGGACAUGAGACUUGAGGUUGUCCUUUUGUCUCUGUUACACAUUGUGCUGGCUAGUUUUAUUUGGCACAGCUAGAGUCAUCAGAAUGGAGAAGGCCUCAAUUUAAAAAAUGCCUCAGGUUAUAGGCAAGCCUGAAGGGUACUUUCUUAGUGAUUGAUGGGGGAGGGCCCAGACCAUGAUGGGUGGUACCAUCCCUGGGUUGGUGGUUCUAGAUUCUAUAAGAAAACAGGCUGAGCAAGCCAUGAGAAGAAAGCCAGUUGUUGCAGAAUAUUUGCUUAACUAUGCAAAGAUGUGUUGUAUUUAUGUUGCAGAAUAUUUGUUUAACUAUGUAAAGAUGUGUUGCUGUUUUACCUUACCUGCCUAAGGCACCCUGAUUGGUCUAAUAAAAAGCUGAAUGGCCAAUAGCUGAACAGCCAAAAGCCAGGGAGGAGGUGUAGGCGGGACUUCCAGGCAGGGAGAGUAAAUAGGAGGAAUUUGGGUUCAGGGAAGAAAGAAAGGAAACACCAGGGAAAAAUCAGGGAGACACCAGAGGCCAGACAGGCAGACACAGAGGAAGCAGGAAAGUAGGACAUACAGAAUGAAAAGUAAAAAGCACUGAGGUAAAACGUAGAUGAAUAGAAACAGGUUAAAUUAAGUUAAAAGAACUAGUGAGACAAGCCUAAGCUAAGGCUGAGCAUUCAUAAUUAACAAGUCUCUGUGUCUUUAUUUGGGAGCUGGUUGGUGGCCCAAAGAAAAUUCCAAAUACAGCCAGUAACUAGCUUCCAUGGCCUCUGCAUUAGCUCCUGCCUCCAGGUUCCUGCCCUGUUUGAGUUCCUGUCCUGACUUCCUUAGAUAAUGAACAGAACAGCACUGUGGAAGUGUAAGCCAGGCCUUCAUCUUUUCUGGCACACUUGUAUCACAGACGCCCAGGGAAGGAGCCUCCAGUCCCCUUUACCUAAGACUCACAUGGCGAUCAGCCCCGCCCUCACCCAUGAUCUUCCCUCUGCUCUGCGGGGUCUCACAAAAGAAAUCCAGGAUCUCGGUGCCCCAGCUCCAGCCCCGACCUUCCCAAGCUGCUCAGGUCGUGAGAUUGGCCUGGCACAGACAGAAUGAGGACCUCGGAUUGCAAGCAGGCAGCCACCAAGGCUUUAUCGCAGAUUUCUGCGGAACAAAGGCCCUGCCGGCCCUGGGAGCUCAUGCUGCGGCCCUAUUGAAAUCUCGAGGUAGCCUUCUAUUAAUCACUCCCCUGGUGCCUCAGAGGCCAAAAAAGGGAGAGGGGGACACAAAAACCUCUUUUCUAAGCAGGAAGAGCUCCGCAGAGACCCAAGCAGAAAGAUUUCAGCCCAACAAGCCCUCUCUCUUGCCAACAGGGUAGAUGCCUGGGCCUCCCAGACUCACACAAACAAACAAGAGAAGCCUA